rnacentral:rRNA from 1 species
UCAGGAAUAUUGCGCAAUGGAGGAAACUCUGACGCAGCGACGCCGCGUGGGUGAUGAAGGCCUUCGGGUCGUAAAGCCCUGUCGGAGGGGAAGAAAAGCCUACUGGCUAAUAUCCAGUGGGCCUUUGACGGUACCCUCAAAGGAAGCACCGGCUAACUCCGUGCCAGCAGCCGCGGUAAGACGGAGGGUGCGAGCGUUGUUCGGAUUGACUGGGCGUAAAGGGCGUGUAGGCGGUUGGUCAAGUCUGGUGUGAAAGCCCGGGGCUUAACUCCGGAAGUGCACUGGAAACUAGCCAGCUGGAGCGCGAGAGAGGAGGGUGGAAUUCCUGGUGUAGCGGUGAAAUGCGUAGAUAUCAGGAGGAACACCGGCGGCGAAGGCGGCCCUCUGGCUCGUUGCUGACGCUGAAACGCGAAAGCGUGGGGAGCAAACA